GUGUGUUGAUGGUGUUCAGCACCAAGGACAGGUAUGUUUGCUUGUAUGUGGAUGGUGUUCGGCACCAAGAACAGGUAUAUUUACCU
rnacentral:pre_miRNA from 1 species